GCUCAGCUAGCUCAGUCGGUAGAGCAUGAGACUCUUAAUCUCAGGGUCAUGAGUUCAAGUCCCAUGUUGGCCG
rfam:Neotoma lepida isolate 417 scaffold_70548, whole genome shotgun sequence.